rnacentral:rRNA from 1 species
GACGUAGGGCGCGAGCGUUGUCCAGAUUCAUUGGGCGUAAAGGGUGCGUAGGCGGCGCGGUAAGUCGGGUGUGAAAUCUCGGAGCUUAACUCCGAAACUGCAUUCGAUACUGCCGUGCUUGAGGACUGGAGAGGAGACUGGAAUUUACGGUGUAGCGGUGAAAUGCGUAGAUAUCGUAAGGAAGACCAGUGGCGAAGGCGGGUCUCUGGACAGUUCCUGACGCUGAGGCACGAAGGUCAGGGGAGCAAACGGG